ensembl:rRNA n-R5s153 nuclear encoded rRNA 5S 153
GUCUAUGGCGGUAACUACCCUCAACACACCCCAUCUCGUGACCUCAGAAGCUAAGCAGGGUCAGGCCUGGAGUACCUUAAUUGAAGACUACCUGGGAAUACUGGGUGUAGUAGGCU